ACACACACACACACACACACACAAACUCACACACACCACACACCUCCCACUCUUUUCUGUGAUGUCAUAACCUGAGGUCUUCAAUCAAAAUCACUGUAUAAAAAACCCCUUGGUAAUCCACAAUUUACAACAUUCUGGAGACAACCCCGAAGCUUGAAGACCUCAAAAGCUUUGACGUUCCUCGAUUUCAACCGCAAUAUGGACUUUGGAAUUUAAUAGGAAUCACUCAUCUUUCAGCUUAAUUAAUGAUCAGAAUGUUUCAUUGUUGAAACUGUGACAGACUGUGAUGCUGUGACAGACGAAAGUGUGCUAUAUCAUCCAUUUCAAACUUUUCAUCCGGAACCUAGUAACUACGGAUUAACCAUUCACAGUGAGUGAAACUUAAUGAAAUAUGUAAUAUAUGUAAAUAUUUAAUUUAAAAUAUUCUAACUCAUGUGAUUUCUGUUCAUUAGAAAACAGU